rnacentral:lncRNA from 1 species
CAGGAGGCUACGCAGUGAGCCGAGGGGCUGCGAAGCAGGGCGGCAGUGCAUUCUACCAGAACCAGGUGUGUUCAGCAAGCGAAUGUGUUCAAGUAGAAGCUGCACUGCACCUUGUAAACUGCAAAGUGGCUUAUGGCAACUGGAGCUUCUAGAUUCAGCACUUGAAACUGAAUGUGAGAUUCCACUGUUACCCAGUGCACUCAUUAAUACCAGCCCCAGAAGAGAUUCCUGAGAAUGGCUGGAAAACCUGACCUUCCUCUCCUGGCAUCAGCAGAGGACACUGGAAUGUACUGCUGACUUCAGCAUGCGCCCAGCAUGACGUCUUCGGACUCCAAGCAACACCCCAGCCUGGACUCUCUCCUAAGUCUACUGCAAGCUGUUGCUUAUCAGCUCGUACAGUAUAUUGAAAGCAGAUGGACA